ACUCAAAGGAAUUGACGGGGGCCCGCACAAGCGGUGGAGUAUGUGGUUUAAUUCGAUGCAACGCGAAGAACCUUACCAGGGCUUGACAUCCCGGGAAUCCGCCUGAAAGGGGGGAGUGCCCUUCGGGGAGCCCGGAGACAGGUGGUGCAUGGCUGUCGUCAGCUCGUGUCGUGAGAUGUUGGAUUAAGUUCCGCAACGAGCGCAACCCUCGUCGUAUGUUGCCAGCGGUUCGGCCGGGCACUCAUACGAGACUGCUGCAGCAAUGUAGAGGAAGGUGGGGAUGACGUCAAGUCAGCAUGCCCCGUACGCCCUGGGCUACACACAUACUACAAUGCCAGGUGCAGACCGAUGCCAACCCGUGAGGGGGAGCUAAUCGGACAAUGCCUGGCUCAGUGCGGAUCGCAGGCUGCAACUCGCCUGCGUGAAGUCGGAAUCGCUAGUAACCGUCGGUCAGCAGUACGACGGUGAAUACGUUCCCGGGCCUUGUACACACCGCCCGU
rnacentral:rRNA from 1 species